GAUGAACGCUAGCUACAGGCUUAACACAUGCAAGUCGAGGGGCAGCAUGGUCUUAGCUUGCUAAGGCCGAUGGCGACCGGCGCACGGGUGAGUAACACGUAUCCAACCUGCCGUCUACUCUUGGACAGCCUUCUGAAAGGAAGAUUAAUACAAGAUGGCAUCAUGAGUCCGCAUGUUCACAUGAUUAAAGGUAUUCCGGUAGACGAUGGGGAUGCGUUCCAUUAGAUAGUAGGCGGGGUAACGGCCCACCUAGUCUUCGAUGGAUAGGGGUUCUGAGAGGAAGGUCCCCCACAUUGGAACUGAGACACGGUCCAAACUCCUACGGGAGGCAGCAGUGAGGAAUAUUGGUCAAUGGGCGAGAGCCUGAACCAGCCAAGUAGCGUGAAGGAUGACUGCCCUAUGGGUUGUAAACUUCUUUUAUAAAGGAAUAAAGUCGGGUAUGGAUACCCGUUUGCAUGUACUUUAUGAAUAAGGAUCGGCUAACUCCGUGCCAGCAGCCGCGGUAAUACGGAGGAUCCGAGCGUUAUCCGGAUUUAUUGGGUUUAAAGGGAGCGUAGAUGGAUAUUUAAGUCAGUUGUGAAAGUUUGCGGCUCAACCGUAAAAUUGCAGUUGAUACUGGAUAUCUUGAGUGCAGUUGAGGCAGGCGGAAUUCGUGGUGUAGCGGUGAAAUGCUUAGAUAUCACGAAGAACUCCGAUUGCGAAGGCAGCCUGCUAAGCUGCAACUGACAUUGAGGCU
rnacentral:rRNA from 1 species